GUAUGGCAGAAUGCCAUGAGCUCAGUCAGGCGUGCGCGAGAGUUAGCUGCCUUCCUUUUCCUUUCUAAAGACAAAGGAAAUCUCCGGUGAAACAUUAUUGAAGAUUUAUGUUAAAAACAUCCUAAAGAUUGAUUCUAUACAUCGUUUGACAUGUUUCUACGAACAUAAAUGAUGGACUUUAUCGAACAAAACAAACAUUUAUUGUGGAACUGGGAUUCCUGGGAGUACAUUCUGAUGAAAAUCAUCAAAGACGAAGUACUUGAAGACACCCCUGAUCUCGACAAGAGGCACAACAUUCAGAGAAAUUCACAAUUCAGGAGCUAGGGGUUCUGCCCAACACCCAGACGUGGAUCCACUGGAUGUCCUCCAUUACCAACCACCCUCCAACUUUUCAUUACAUCAUCUACAGCUACUGUUGUUGUCAUGUUGUCAUUAUCAGCUAAGAAAAGUUUCUUGCUCUAUCAUACUGGGCACAUAAUAUGUGAGAUAUAUGGUCCCACAGAUGACAGUGCAUGUCAGAGAAAAAAACAAGCCAUGAUGUCGAAGGAUUUGUCGAUAGAGCUCCGAGACAGGAUUGUGUCGAGGCACAGAUCUGGGGAAACAAGGUCCCCAAGAACACAGUGGCCUCCAGAGCACUCAGGACCACAGACUGGAGCGAUGGUUCGUCUUCCAACUGGACAACGACCCUAAGCACACAGCCAAGGCAACACAGGAGUGGCUUCAGGACAAGUCUCUGAAUGUCCUUGAGUGGCCCAGCCAGUUUCUGGACGUGAACCCAAUCUAACAUCUCUGGAGAGACCUGGAAAUAGCUGUGCAGCGAUUCUCCCCAUCCAACCUGACAGAGCUUGAGAGGGUCUGCAGGGAAGAAUGAGAGAAACUCCCCAAAUACAGAAAUACAGGUGUACCAAGCUUGUAGUGUCAUACCCAAUAACACUUGAGGCUGUAAUCGAUGCCAAAGGUUCUUCAUCAAAGUACUGAGUAAAGGGUCCUAAUACUUGUCUAAAUAUGAUAUUUACAUUUUUAGUUUUUUAUAUUUUUGCAAAAAAAGACAUGCUUUUGCUUUUUCAUUGUCGGGUAUUGUGUGUAGAAUGAUGAGGGGAAAAACAAUAU
ensembl:lncRNA